AACGGAUUAUGCAUUUGACGAUGCCCUGGUCAAAUCAUUAACUAGGGAACUACUAGCUAAAUGCAAUGAGGCUAGCUCUUCACCUCCCUCCAUGACACAGUUGUCAUCACACAAUGUACUUGGCAGUGACGAGGUAGGUAAUUCUGGGCUUCCAACAACUUGUAGAAAGGAAAGGAAGAGAGGAAGAUUCAGCGCUCUCUGUGGACUCAACCCAAAGGUACAUAUGUCAUCAAAAUACACAUUUUUAAGAUUAUUUUUAUUCAUUACGUACAGUAUGAUGGUAAACACUGAUACCCUUUGUGUGCAAUUUCUCCUACUGUAUAAAUGACUGUUGGUUACCCAGAGUACAAAGCAGGUCAACAAGAAGAACCACUGCACUCCAACACCUUCCCAGAACCAGACUCCUGCCGUCAGUGAAACAGCAAUUGUCAAUGAUCAAGAAUCCUGCCGAACAGAGAGUGUAUGCUCCACCAAGAAGAAACCAUGGAAGCGUUUGCUCAUUUCCAGGAUGUUUUCAGCUAUAGGCAAAGCCUUGUCCAGUCCCUUUACUUCCUGCUAUAAAAAGAAGAGCACCUAAUCUAUAUUUCAAAAUAAAUAUUUGAAAUUAACAUAAUUGCA